UACGUAGGGGGCGAGCGUUGUCCGGAAUCAUUGGGCGUAAAGAGCUCGUAGGCGGUUGCGAAAGUCAGGUGUGAAAACCCGGGGCUCAACCCCGGGACUGCAUUUGAUACUUCGCUGACUAGAGUCCGGUAGAGGAAGGCGGAAUUCCUGGUGUAGCGGUGGAAUGCACAGAUAUCAGGAGGAACACCGGUGGCGAAGGCGGCCUUCUGGGCCGGUACUGACGCUGAGGAGCGAAAGCUAGGGGAGCGAA
rnacentral:rRNA from 1 species